rnacentral:rRNA from 1 species
UACGUAGGCCGCGAGCGUUGUUCGGAGUUACUGGGCGUAAAGGGUGCGUAGGCGGCGCGGUAAGUCGGGUGUGAAAUCUUGGAGCUUAACUCCGAAACUGCAUUCGAUACUGCCGUGCUUGAGGACUGGAGAGGAGACUGGAAUUUACGGUGUAGCAGUGAAAUGCGUAGAUAUCGAGAGGAACACCAGUGGCGAAGGCGAGUCCCUGGACAACUCCUGACACUGAGGCACGAAAGCUAGGGGAGCAAACAGG